GAUCCUGGCUCAGAAUCAACGCUGGCGGCGUGCCUAACACAUGCAAGUCGAACGCGAAAGGGGAGCAAUCCCUGAGUAGAGUGGCAAACGGGUGAGUAACACGUGGGUGACCUGCCUUCGAGUGGGGGAUAACGUCCCGAAAGGGACGCUAAUACCGCAUGACAUCCUGCUUUUGGAGAAGCGGAAAUCAAAGCUGGGGAUCGUAAGACCUGGCGCUUGAAGAGGGGCCCGCGCCUGAUUAGCUAGUUGGUGAGGUAACGGCUCACCAAGGCGACGAUCAGUAUCCGGCCUGAGAGGGCGGACGGACACACUGGGACUGAGACACGGCCCAGACUCCUACGGGAGGCAGCAGUGGGGAAUUGUUCGCAAUGGGCGCAAGCCUGACGACGCAACGCCGCGUGGAGGAUGAAGAUUUUCGGAUCGUAAACUCCUGUCGAGUGGGAAGAACAGCUUCUGGGGGAAUACUCCGGGAGCCUGACGGUACCACUAAAGGAAGCCCCGGCUAACUCCGUGCCAGCAGCCGCGGUAAUACGGGGGGGGCAAGCGUUGUUCGGAAUUACUGGGCGUAAAGGGCUCGUAGGCGGCCAACUAAGUCGGAUGUGAAAUCCCCAGGCUCAACCUGGGAACUGCAUCCGAUACUGGAUGGCUUGAAUUCGGGAGAGGGAUGCAGAAUUCCAGGUGUAGCGGUGA
rnacentral:rRNA from 1 species